rnacentral:rRNA from 1 species
GGGUUGUGAGGUUAAGCGACUAAGCGUACACGGUGGAUGCCCUGGCAGUCAGAGGCGAUGAAGGACGUGCUAAUCUGCGAAAAGCGUCGGUAAGGUGAUAUGAACCGUUAUAACCGGCGAUGUCCGAAUGGGGAAACCCAGUGCAAUUCGUUGCACUAUCGUUAACUGAAUACAUAGGUUAACGAGGCGAACCGGGGGAACUGAAACAUCUAAGUACCCCGAGGAAAAGAAAUCAACCGAGAUUCCCCCAGUAGCGGCGAGCGAACGGGGAGCAGCCCAGAGUCUGAAUCAGCUUGUGUGUUAGUGGAACGGUCUGGAAAGUCCGACGGUACAGGGUGAUAGUCCCGUACACCAAAAUGCACAGGUUGUGAACUCGAAGAGUAGGGCGGGACACGUGGUAUCCUGUCUGAAUAUGGGGGGACCAUCCUCCAAGGCUAAAUACUCCUGACUGACCGAUAGUGAACCAGUACCGUGAGGGAAAGGCGAAAAGAACCCCGGCGAGGGGAGUGAAAAAGAACCUGAAACCGUGUACGUACAAGCAGUGGGAGCACCUUCGGGUGUGACUGCGUACCUUUUGUAUAAUGGGUCAGCGACUUAUAUUCUGUAGCAAGGUUAACCGUAUAGGGGAGCCGCAGGGAAACCGAGUCUUAACUGGGCGUUAAGUUGCAGGGUAUAGACCCGAAACCCGGUGAUCUAGCCAUGGGCAGGUUGAAGGUUGGGUAACACUAACUGGAGGACCGAACCGACUAAUGUUGAAAAAUUAGCGGAUGACUUGUGGCUGGGGGUGAAAGGCCAAUCAAACCGGGAGAUAGCUGGUUCUCCCCGAAAGCUAUUUAGGUAGCGCCUCGUGAACUCAUCUUCGGGGGUAGAGCACUGUUUCGGCUAGGGGGUCAUCCCGACUUACCAACCCGAUGCAAACUACGAAUACCGAAGAAUGUUAUCACGGGAGACACACGGCGGGUGCUAACGUCCGUCGUGAAGAGGGAAACAACCCAGACCGCCAGCUAAGGUCCCAAAGUCAUGGUUAAGUGGGAAACGAUGUGGGAAGGCACAGACAGCCAGGAUGUUGGCUUAGAAGCAGCCAUCAUUUAAAGAAAGCGUAAUAGCUCACUGGUCGAGUCGGCCUGCGCGGAAGAUGUAACGGGGCUAAACCAUGCACCGAAGCUGCGGCAGCGACACUAUGUGUUGUUGGGUAGGGGAGCGUUCUGUAAGCCUGCGAAGGUGUGCUGUGAGGCAUGCUGGAGGUAUCAGAAGUGCGAAUGCUGACAUAAGUAACGAUAAAGCGGGUGAAAAGCCCGCUCGCCGGAAGACCAAGGGUUCCUGUCCAACGUUAAUCGGGGCAGGGUGAGUCGACCCCUAAGGCGAGGCCGAAAGGCGUAGUCGAUGGGAAACAGGUUAAUAUUCCUGUACUUGGUGUUACUGCGAAGGGGGGACGGAGAAGGCUAUGUUAGCCGGGCGACGGUUGUCCCGGUUUAAGCAUGUAGGCUGAUUGUCCAGGCAAAUCCGGAUAAUCAAGGCUGAGGUGUGAUGACGAGGCACUACGGUGCUGAAGUAACAAAUGCCC